GACGAACGCUGGCGGCGUGCUUAACACAUGCAAGUCGAACGAUGAUCAGGAGCUUGCUCCUGUGAUUAGUGGCGAACGGGUGAGUAACACGUGAGUAACCUGCCCCUGACUCUGGGAUAAGCGUUGGAAACGACGUCUAAUACUGGAUAUGAUCACUGGCCGCAUGGUCUGGUGGUGGAAAGAUUUUUUGGUUGGGGAUGGACUCGCGGCCUAUCAGCUUGUUGGUGAGGUAAUGGCUCACCAAGGCGACGACGGGUAGCCGGCCUGAGAGGGUGACCGGCCACACUGGGACUGAGACACGGCCCAGACGCCUACGGGCGGCAGCAGUGGGGAAUAUUGCACAAUGGGCGAAAGCCUGAUGCAGCAACGCCGCGUGAGGGAUGACGGCCUUCGGGUUGUAAACCUCUUUUAGUAGGGAAGAAGCGAAAGUGACGGUACCUGCAGAAAAAGCACCGGCUAACUACGUG
rnacentral:rRNA from 1 species